GUUCAAUUUCUGUGACUGGCUUCAAACUUGAAACGAUCCAGCGAAGACUCACAUGGCUCCUGAGUACGGGAAACAUGCAAAGCUGUGAAGUAUUCCAUACUUAA
ensembl:snRNA U6 U6 spliceosomal RNA